ACCCUAUCCAUUUGACAUCUUAAUGUCACAGCCACUUUUGGUAUACUUACUUACUUUGCUAUGGGUAAAAUAUGUGUGUAUGUGUGUGUGUGUAUCUGUGUAUUCAAGGGAUGGCGAGAAAAUGGGUUGUUUUGGAAAUGACAACUCAGACCUCAGCCCUUUCAAAACCAAAGAGUUCGGGCCACCCUCAUAGGAAAACAGUUCUUCAGAGGAAGAAAAGGCUCCUGCUUCGUCACCCAACACUCUGGAGGAAAAGCAUCUUAACGGAACUGCCUGCUCUACAAAACUUCCUAAAAUUAGAGGACACUCUCCAUGCCAUGCAUGUCUGUCUAGCUCGUUAUUCUUCAGGUGGAAAAAGGACCCAAUCCAGCAGGAAGUUCUCCUGGUCAGUGAAAGAAGGACUGCAUCUGAAAGCACAUCCACUGGGAAACUUUCCAAUGACAUCUCACCAACAUCAAAAGUAACUAGACCAUAAAUAAAUAAAUGAAGAAAAAUAAAUAAAUGAAGAAAAAAGCCAUCACUGGACACAAUUUCGUACUAUUGAGUAAGAUUAUUUUUAAUUAUUCUUUUCCUUCUCUCUACGCAUAGUAAUCACAUAAUACGAAUAAAAAGGCUUGGCCAACUAUUAAAUUAUUUGUUAUCCAUCAUAUACAUUGUCAUUGUUUUUAACUCAAUACAAUAUUAAUAUCAGAUGAUCUAGUGACAGCAAUAAGGAAGUGGUCCAUUGUCCAACAUGUAAAAAUAUACACCAACAAAAACAAACAAGCAAAAAAAAAAAAUACAGCACCGGUAACCAGACGUAGAGGCACAAACCUACGGAGAGGGGAGGAGAAGAGAAAGACAGAAGUGCCUAGAAUUAUGUACAACAGUUAUAUUAUGCUAAAUGCUGCGUUCCCUUCAUACAUUUGGACUUUCAUGUUUUCUAAGGAAAAGUGCUAACCACGUCCACAUUUUCACUUCAAAUACCUUUUUUUUAAAAAAAAAUUACAUCAAGGACAAAGAAACAAAACAAAGAAAAACAAAAACACCUUCCUUUAAACAAGACCAUUUACAAAUACUUGACUAUUUGAAGACCCACAUAGCAAAACAUUUUUCUAUGUUUGAUUCUAAAGAGACAUUUAAUAGGUAGAUUUAUUAUCCUGUUUUGUUGUACAAAAACAAAAAAGGAGAGAAAUGUUAAUAUAGGUAGUUUUCCAAGUGUCAAGCAACAGAAGAAGUCGCCUCCUCUGUUUGCCCAGUUGUUUCUGUUUCAUUUCUUGCUUAAUAUACAGUCUUUAUUUCUUUGCUUCUUAAAUUUCCGGUUCUUCCUUUCA